UACAGAGGUCUCAAGCGUUGUUCGGAUUCACUGGGCGUAAAGGGUGCGCAGGCGGCCAAGUGUGUGAGGCGUGAAAGCCUGGAGCUUAACUCCAGAAUUGCACCUCAAACUACAUGGCUAGAGCAUUGGAGAGGGUAGCGGAAUUCCCGGUGUAGAGGUGAAAUUCGUAGAUAUCGGGAGGAACACCGGUGGCGAAGGCGGCGAUCUGGGUCGAUACUGACGCUGAGGUGCGAAAGCGUGGGGAGCAAACAGG
rnacentral:rRNA from 1 species